GACGAACGCUGGCGGCGUGCUUAACACAUGUAAGUCGAACGGAAAGGCACUGCUUUUGUGGGGUGAUGGAGUGGGGAAAGGGUGAGUAAAAAGUGAGUAAAAUGAAAUUGAAUUUGGGAUAACUUCAGGAAACUGGGGCUAAUACCGGAUAGGAGCUCCUGCUGCAUGGUGGGGGUUGGAAAGUUUCGGCGGUUGGGGAUGGACUCGCGGCUUAUCAGCUUGUUGGUGGGGUAGUGGCUUACCAAGGCUUUGACGGGUAGCCGGCCUGAGAGGGUGACCGGCCACAUUGGGACUGAGAUACGGCCCAGACUCCUACGGGAGGCAGCAGUGGGGAAUAUUGCACAAUGGGCGGAAGCCUGAUGCAGCAACGCCGCGUGCGGGAUGACGGCCUUCGUUUUGUAAACCGCUUUCGCCUGUGACGAAGCGUGAGUGACGGUAAUGGGUAAAGAAGCACCGGCUAACUACGUG
rnacentral:rRNA from 1 species